AGGAUGAAUGCUGGCGGCGUGGAUAAGGCAUGCAAGUCGAACGGUCCGCAAGGACAGUGGCAGACGAGGUAGUAACACGUACGGACGCACCCCAGAGUCUGGCAUAGCUCGUCGAAAAGACGGGGUAAUUCCGGAUGGUCCCGAAAGGGUAAAGUUUUUUCGCUCUGGGAGCGGCGUGCGUAAUAUCAGCUUGUUGGUGAGGUAAUGGCUCACCAAGGCUACGACGUUUAGGGGAGCUGAGAGGCUGACCCCCACCGAUGGGACUGAGACACGGCCCAUACUCCUACGGGAGGCCGCAGUCGAGAAUCUUCCGCAAUGGACGAAAGUCUGACGGAGCGACGCCGCGUGCUGGACGAAGUGCUUCGGUACGUAAACAGCUUUUAUGUGGGACGAAAUUAUUGACGGUACCACAUGAAUAAGGGGCUCCUAACUCUGCGCCAGCAGCCGC
rnacentral:rRNA from 1 species